ensembl:lncRNA novel transcript, antisense to PTPRM
UUUUCUUUUCUUUUUUUUCUUUUUUUUUUUUUUUUGACAGACUCUUGCUCUGUCACCCAAGCUGGAGUGCAGUGAUGCAAUCUUGGCUCACUGCAACCUCCGCCUCCGCCUCCGCCAUGAGAGGUUCAAGUGACUCUCAUGCCUCGGUCUCCCGAGUAGCUGGGAUUACAGGCAUGCACCACCAAACCUGGCUAACUUUUUUAUUUUCAGUAGAGACGAGGUUUCACCAUGUUGGCCAGGCUGGUCUCGAACUCCUGACCUCAAGUGAUCCACUCGCCUCAGCCUCACAAAGUGCUGGAAUUACAGGUGUGAGCCACUACUCCUGGCCUUUUAAGUUUUCUUUAGGUGAGGUUAAUUAUGAUGUUUAUGUCAAAUAUUCAGAAGCAAAAACUUGAUCACCCAUUUUCUUCCAUCAGCCAGCAGGAGUUCAGGUUCUUGCUUCUUCCUGUGUAUCCAUCCACCCUUUCCACCAAUUAUAUCUUUUUCUAGUAACACAGCACUUCAGGACCACCUUAGGUUCAUUCCAAAAUUUCAUUUCAGUGUUUACACAGGAAGAAGGAUCCUAGUUAAAAGACUACACUUCUUAGAAGACAUUUUAGGUACUAUUUUUUGUUAAUUGAUAUUUCGAGGUCUCAUACAUUUCAGGAGCUUUUCCAACUAACUUUAGUAUUCACUCCAAGAUUAAUUCAGAUAAAUGCAAUUUUUCCUACCUGUAGGCACCUAAAGAGUUGUUGGGGUUUGUGUGUGUGGGAUGGGGAGUGCAUUUUUCAUUAUAAUUCUAAUUUAAAAGGUUUAAAAAUGAUAAAUGAUCAAUUCUACACUUAUCUUUAAAUUCAUUAGUAAUAAUACACUUUCAAAGUUCAGGAUAAAUUAUUUCUUUCUUCAACACUUCAGUAUUUAACCAUUCUUGUCACAGAUCCCUUGGAAAGGUUCUGCUCUAAAUUAAUUUAAAAACUAUCAUACUAAGUAUAGUAAGCCCUAUCAAAGUAAGCAAGGUUGUCAAUCAGAGUUGUCAAUCUGGUUGUCAAUCAGCCUUUCAGGGACUCAAGUCCCCAAGUGUUAUCCAGAGUUAGCAACAUUCUCUUUGUUGGAUUUGAAGCUAUGUUUCAUAUUUCAAAUUGAGUAUAAACAGCUUUAAAUGAGAAGAAGACUUCACUUAAUUUGAAAAAGGUAGAGGUUUGAGAAGCAUAUUUAGUUUUUGUCAUCUUUAAAAUAAAAUGAAAUAGAAAACCUAACUAGAGAAAUAUUAUAUUUAUUUAAAAAUAUGUGUCAAUCAACUGUUUCUGUUAUCAGUAAGGCUUCUAGUCAACAGUAGGCCACUGUAGCAUGUGGAGCAAUUUUGUUUCAUUUUGUCUCAUUUUGUCAUACACCUUUGUGUUAGGGUAGAGGUUGGGGUUGGUGAUGGAGAAUCUGUUCCCUGAUAUUUGUAGUCACAUAGACAUGAGAUGCCCUUUCUUGCUAUGACUGAGUCACCAGUAAGUUCACUAAGCCACAUGCACAAGUGUGGAGUUAUUGAAAGGAGGCUACUCCUGAAAUUUGGUGAGCUUAUCAGAAUAAGUUCUACUGGCGCAGCCAAACAAUAGUCCCAAACAUGAACAGUGAGGGGCAGAGAUGAACAACCAUUUUCUCUGAGGCACCAAGCAAAUACUAGAUCAUGAAAAAAAUUCUGUAAUUGACAAUCUCCUCUGGAUUCACAGCAAUGCCUUAUUGAAAUGCAACUUAAAGAAUGAGCUAUUACAAAGGAUAAUCCCACUGGUUUUUCAUCACAAUUUUUGGCACUAAAUAUGGACAUUUCAGUGUAUUUGGUGUGUGUGUUCACAUAUGUGAGAUACGCACAAGGGUAUAAAUGAGUGUGUAUAUAUCCUUCUUAAUUUAUUCUUGUUAAUUUAGACCCAUCUACAAAUUUUCAGACAGAACACAAUUUCCUUUGUAUUUAGAUCUAUUUUGUACACUAUUCCUUAGUCUAAUAUAUACUUUUACAUUUCAUUUAGCAGUAAACAACUGAAGCAUUAUGUAUCCAUAAAAGGCAAUUAUCCUAACCGUUCUAAUUAUCUUAUAACACUUGCACUUUUUUCCUUCAGUGUGUGAGUAUACAAAUGUUUGCUUUGUUUAAGAAAGGGAAAAAAUGGAGACAGAAAGGAUGUACUUUUUAACAAUUCACUAAUCCAGGAAAAUGUCACUUCUUCAAAAACAAACAAAAAAACCUUUGAAAUAACAAAACAGGAAAAAUAAGAUUUUCAGUCAAAAGAUUACUUAUCAUGAAAAACCAAAUAAUUUGCUUAAAAAGGGCUUUCUAAAUUGCUUUAACUUUUGCAUGUUAUUUUUUAAAGUUUAAUUGCCUAAAUUCCUGGUGAUAAAUUUUUUUCAAAAAAUUGACCGAAUAUUAAUUUUUUGUAUUCUAAAGGUCAUGAAAAAAGUUACCUAAUUUCCUGAAAUCCUAAUUAAAUGAAGCAAACCAAAAUAAGAUCUCAUUAUUCUUAUACUGCCUCUGUUUUAAAAAAGAGAGAAAAAACUGGAAUUCAUGCUAAAAACCUUAGGUUUAUUCAUUUUAACUUGAAUUUGUUGUUUAUGAUGAAAUCUUGAGUUUCGGGAUGAUAUGUUUAGAUAUAAUUUUCACUAAUGGAUGUAAAAGAGCUCUGUACCUAAAACAUGUAUUCAUACUUUUUUCUUAAAAGGUCUAAAUUCUUAAUGCUAAGAAGUAUAUUAUCUAAAAGUGGAGUUUUAUAACUCCUACAGUUUGAUAUUUUUGAAGCUACAGAAAAACUUUGACAAGCUCAAAUAGAUUUUUCUCCCCAAAAUGAGUACAUGGUCAUUUCAAACUGACCCUGUUAUCCUUGAACUAAUGGCGUUCCUCCUUCACAGUGGCCAACAGAGGGGAUGGUAUGUACCCCAGGAGGCUGUGCAGCUGACCCUUGAACAACACAGAUUUGAACUGUACGAGUCCACUUCUAUGUGGAUUUUCCUCCAUCUCUGGCACCUGAGACAGCCAAACCAACUUCCCACUCACUCCUGGGCCCACUCAACCUGAAGACAACCAGGAUGAAGAUCCACCUCCACUUGAUGAAUAGCAUGAUUGUAAUUAGAAGGCUGAAGAAAGCCAGAGGAAGGUCCUGGCAGAUGCCAAGUUACCAUUCUGGAGAAAAUCUUCAUGGCCUGUCGAUCUGUCACAGAAAUGAAAAUCCUUUAGAGCCUCUGGAAACAAAAAAUGGCAUUUCUAAAGUAACUCUUCAGUUUAAAAUAAAA